rnacentral:rRNA from 1 species
AUUGAACGCUGGCGGCAUGCCUUACACAUGCAAGUCGAACGGUAACAGGUCUUCGGAUGCUGACGAGUGGCGAACGGGUGAGUAAUACAUCGGAACGUGCCUAGUAGUGGGGGAUAACUACUCGAAAGAGUGGCUAAUACCGCAUGAGAUCUACGGAUGAAAGCAGGGGAUCGCAAGACCUUGUGCUACUAGAGCGGCCGAUGGCAGAUUAGGUAGUUGGUGGGAUAAAAGCUUACCAAGCCGACGAUCUGUAGCUGGUCUGAGAGGAGGAUCAGCCCCACUGGGGCUGGGACACGGCCCAGACUCCUACGGGAGGCAGCAGUGGGGAAUUUUGGACAAUGGGCGAAAGCCUGAUCCAGCAAUGCCGCGUGCGGGAUGAAGGCCUUCGGGUUGUAAACUGCUUUUGUACGGAACGAAAAGCCCCGGGUUAAUACCCUGGGGUCAUGACGGUACCGUAAGAAUAAGCACCGGCUAACUACGUGCCAGCCGCCGCGGUAA